CCAUGCCGGAGUGGGCACAGGCGUGUGGGUGGAUUUUUUGUGGACGUUGUGAUGUAUUCGCCCAUCUGCGCAUCUGCAUUCGCGUCCGGAGGGUGGAGCCCUUCAGAGGAGUUUUGUUCUGCUCUGGUGGACAGGCCCAGAGAUUCGUCGCUUGGCUUGCGGCUGGUAUCGUCAGUGCGGUCUUCCAAGCUCCAUACUAUGUGUAUGUCAUCAACAUAUCUUGCAUAUAAACGAAAGUCGGAAGUGAAAAGAUCUAGAGUUGUUGUCUCUUUAUAUCGCACAACGAGCUCCGCCAUAAGCCCUGCUAUGGGGCC
rnacentral:lncRNA from 1 species